GGUUCAUAUAGAUCACUUUAUCGAAUUAGAAAAUACUCCCUCUGUAAACUAAUAUAAAAGCGUUUAGAUCACUAGUGAGGGAGUACAUGUAAGCGCGGACUUUGCUUUUCCGUGUAUUUUCGAUGCCACCGAAAGCCACGAGUGCGCCACCGCGGUCAAUAGCUUCGCAGUCACCGUCCUCCGUCCCCGGCCGCGUCGCCGUGACAAGACCGACGUUCUUACCGCGUCCUCGCUCCUACGAAAUUGGCAUGACAUCUCCACGAUCCCCUCGCGGCCAUCCAAGAACAUUCCUCGCGACAACGGACCAUCGCUCUCAAAUCUCAAUAAAACCACCCCCAGUUCGCCACUGAGCUGCUCAGAUUCAGAGCUUCGCAACAAGCGAGAGCGAGCGUCCGUCUCUGUCCGUCCACGAGCUCCGAUCUUCUAGACGCCGGGAGCCGAGCCGGCGAUGGCGGCGCCUGCUGCUCUUGACGUUAGCCUCGAGAGGGUAGCUACGGCACCGGCCGUUCCACCACCCGGCAUCGGCGUCGACAGUGCCACCGCGGAGGCGGAGUUCCUCUGGGAGCUGCGCAAGUACGUGCUGCUCCUCGCCACGCUCGCGGCCUCCGUCACCUACUCCGCGGGGCUGAGUCCGCCAGGCGGGUUCUGGCCCGACAACGACGCCGACAGAGGCGCGCGUCUCGCCGGCGACCCGGUGCUCCUCGUCACCUACCCGCGCCGAUACAAGGCCUUCUUCUACUGCAACGCCACCGCCUUCGUCGCCUCCCUCGUCAUCGUCAACCUCCUGCUCGUCCGCUCGCUCGGCCACCGCCGGCGGUGGCUGCGCGCGCUCCAGGCCGCCAUGCUGCUCGACCAGUUCGGUCUCAUGGGGGCCUACGCCGCGGGCAGCUGCAGGGACGCGGCCAUGUCCGCCUACGUCUUCGUUCUCGUCGCCUUGGUUGCCUGCUACGUCUCCGCCCACGUCCUCGUCUUCGUGCUCUUCGCCCCGACAGCGCGCGGCGACAAGGUCACGCCGGCCGACAGAGUGGAGCGCGCGCGCAAGUACCUGCUCAUCUUCGCGACGCUGGCGGCGACCAUCACGUACCAGGCCGGUGUCAGCACGCCGGGCGGGUUCUGGCCGGGCAGCCAGGACAGCGACCACCUGGCCGGCGACCCCAUGCUCCGCGUCCAGCACCCGUCCCGCUUCAUGGUCUUCUUCUACUCCAACACCACCGCGUUCGUCGCGUCGCUGGUCGUCGUCAUGCUGCUCAUGAGCAACACCGUGACGCAGCACGGGUUCCGGUCAUGCGCACUCUGGGUGUGCACGGGCGCGGCCAUGGUGGGGCUCAUGGGCGCCUUCGCCUCCGGGAGCUGCCGGAGCCUCAAGACCUCCAUGUACGUCGUCGCGCUGGUGGCCGCCGUUCUCCUCUACAUCGCCAUUCAGGCACUCGUGUUCUUGUGCGAGCCCGUGAAGAAUUUGAUCCACGACUGGCAACAAGCACUUGACAGGUACCUCAACAAAUUUGAGAGAUUGGACUUGGAGCAGCAAAAUCAGCAGCAAAGCAGAGCAUCCGAGCACGGCAAUGACGACGCGUACCAGAUUCUGAGGAAGUCGCGGAUGUAUCUGCUGCUCCUCGGGAUUCUUGCGGCGAGCGUGACAUACCAAGCCGGACUGAACCCACCGGGCGGCUUCUGGCAAGGCGAUGCAGCCGCCGACAGUCGCCACCACUACCUCGCCGGCGACCCGAUCCUCCACAUCACGUAUCCCCGGCGAUACCUGGCCUUCUUCUACUGCAACGCCACCGCCUUCGUCGCGUCGCUCGUCAUCCUCAUACUCCUGCUGAGCAACAUACUCAGCACCCAGGGGAUCAAGUACUGCGCGUUGCAGGUCGCCAUGAUCCUGGACCUGUUUGGCCUGAUCGGCGCCUACGCCGCCGGGAGCUGCCGGCAAGUGUCCAAAUCCGUGUACGUCUCGCUGCUCGUCGUUCCUGUGUUCCUCUACGUCGGCAUCCAUGUCGUGGUCUUCAUGUUAGAAGUGUGGCCGGCUCGCCCGGCAUGGAUCCAAGCGUUGAGUGAGAAGAUGGAGCAGUGCGCCCCCAGCUGGCUCAAGGAGCUGUUCGAGCACCCCGAGCAGGGGGAGGAGGAGGCGGCGGACGUCGAACGGACACUGGAGAAGAGGCGGAAGCUUCUGCUGCUUCUUGCGAUCCUUGCGGCGAGCCUCACCUACCAAGCCGGCAUGGGCCCGCCGGGCGGCUUCUGGCAAGAGAGCAAGCUCGGCCAUGUCGCCGGCGACCCGGUGCUCAACGACAACUACCCGCGCCGCUACGUGGCCUUCUUCUACUGCAACGCGACGGCCUUCGUCGCGUCCCUUGCCGUCAUCAUGCUGCUGGUGAACAGGAAGCUCUCGGCGAGAGGGAUACGGUCUCACGCACUGCGGGUGUGCGUGAUCCUCGACCUCGUCGGCCUCAUGGGCGCCUUCGCCGCCGGGAGCUGCCGGAAGGUGUCGACCUCGAUCUACGUCCUCGUUCUGACAUUCGCAGUUCUGCUCUGCAUCGCUCUCCAGGUCACGCUGGUCUUGUCGGAGACGGCGCAAGGUCUUGCCAAGAGGCUCCUGUCAAAGCUCGGCGCGGGCGAAGACCAAGCCGGAGGCGACGGGCGGCAUGGCACGGGCGUCGCCGCCGGAGGGGCGCGUGAUCUCUGGGACGAGAAGCUGCCCAAAUACCUGCUGCUGCUCGCCGCGCUCGCCGCCGCCGUCACGUACCAGGCCGCGAUGAGCCCGCCGGGCGGCCUCUGGGGCGACACCACCGGCCACACCGCCGGCGAUCCGGUUCUCACGAGCAACUACCCGCGCCGGUACAAGGCCUUCUUCUACUGCAACGCCACGUCCUUCAUGGCGUCCCUGGUGAUCAUGGUCCUCCUGCUGAUCAAGAGGGUGAGCGACACCCCGCCGGCGCUCUUGGCGCUGCACGCCGCCAUGAUCCUGGACCUGUUUGGCCUCAUGGGUGCGUACGCCGCUGGGAGCUGCAGGAGGGUGAGGACGUCGGCCUACAUCCUGGCGCUGGUCGUCGGGGUCUCGGCGUACAUUGCUGUGCUCGUCGUGGCAUCCAUCGGCAUAGCGGGGCGACUGAGAAGCGCAAUGGACUGGCUGACGGAGCAAGUGACGCGGUGCUUCUCCGUGCAUGAUAUGUAGGAGAACUUUGUAGAAUUGCAGGGUGGCCUGCUCUGGCCCCACGGACCUUGUUUGUAGGCUUGUAGCAUAAGUGUUAUAGAUGCGUCUGGCUGGCGGCCGUUGGCUCAGCUAGCGGUAGCGAGCGGCCGGUCAGAAAAGGAAAAUUCUUGUCCCCCAUUCUUAGAAAGGAAGGCCUCGUAAAUUCCGUUGGCUCGAUAGGCCAACCACUAGACCCUGUUUGUGGUGGGGUGCGCUUUGGUCCCUGAUUUUUCAUGCCCUUUCUUCCAUGUCCGACCUGACACACGGGUGUGGUCCCUUUGCUGCCAUAGCUUUGAUUCCUUUUUGCAUGCGUGUGUUGAUUUGACCUUCGCUGCAGCUCCACAUGCUAUUUG
rnacentral:rRNA from 1 species